UACCAGCUCUCCGAGUGGUAGGGAUGAUUAUUGGGCUUAAAGCGUCCGUAGCCGGCUUAGCUAGUCUCCUGUUAAAUUCAGCGACCUAAUCGUUGAGCCGCGGGAGAUACUACUAGGCUAGGAGGCGGGAGAGGUCGACGGUACUUCCGGGGUAGGGGUGAAAUCCUAUAAUCCCGGGAGGACCACCAGUGGCGAAGGCUGUCGACUAGAACGCGCUCGACGGUGAGGGACGAAAGCUGGGGGAGCGAACCGGAUUAGAUACCCAGGUAGUCCCAGCUGUAAACGAUGCGGGCUAGGUGUUGGGGUGGUUACGGGCCACUUCAGCGCCGCAGGGGAAACCAUUAAGCCCGCCGCCUGGGGAGUACGGCCGCAAGGCUGAAACUUAAGGAAUUGGCGGGGAGCACCACAAGGCGUGAAGCUUGCGGUUC
rnacentral:rRNA from 1 species